rnacentral:rRNA from 1 species
GUUAGGAAUAUUGGACAAUGGGCGAAAGCCUGAUCCAGCCAUGCCGCGUGUGUGAAGAAGGUCUUCGGAUUGUAAAGCACUUUAAGUUGGGAGGAAGGGCAGUAAGUUAAUACCUUGCUGUUUUGACGUUACCAACAGAAUAAGCACCGGCUAACUUCGUGCCAGCAGCCGCGGUAAUACGAAGGGUGCAAGCGUUAAUCGGAAUUACUGGGCGUAAAGCGCGCGUAGGUGGUUCAGCAAGUUGAAGGUGAAAUCCCCGGGCUCAACCUGGGAACUGCCUCCAAAACUACUGAGCUAGAGUACGGUAGAGGGUAGUGGAAUUUCCUGUGUAGCGGUGAAAUGCGUAGAUAUAGGAAGGAACACCAGUGGCGAAGGCGACUACCUGGACUGAUACUGACACUGAGGUGCGAAAGCGUGGGGAGCAAACAGGAUUAGAAACCCUAGUAGUCC